CAUUUUUGGAGCUGGGGCUUAGAGUUUCCUUCCAUGUCCGAUCCUUCUCUCUUUCUGGUCGAACGGAGAAGACCGGAUAUCGAGGCGGUGCCACCGUGAAGGUCACCGGAAGCGGGACGGUCGAGCGUCGCCGCCGUCGUUCUAGGGGUGCCAAUUGCCUCUCCAGCUUCUUCUCUCUCUCAGGAGCCCCAGUACCAGGAUGGGAGAUAAUAUGGAACCAGAGAAUGCAAGCAAGGAGAUAGCAGAAGAAGAUGACGAUGCCCAUCUUCGCCACUCAAUACACAAUCUCCCCAAAAAUUUCGAGUUUAAAGUGGGGAUGGUCUUUUCAAGUGAACUUGAAGCAUAUCACACGUAUGUGGCAUAUGCAUUACGUAAGGGAUUUGGAAUUCGGAAGGGUAAUAAAGUUAGAAAUUCCAAAGGAGAAAUCACUCGGCGUACAUUUUUGUGUAAUUGUGAGGGUUUCUCUUGCACUCCACCCUACCAGCAAAAAAAGAUGGAAAGGACUGAGAUUAGGUGUGGCUGUCAAGCGCAUAUUAAAUUUAAGGUUGAAAAUGGUGUUCAUGAAAUCAUAGAGUACAAACCUGAGCAUAACCAUGCAUUUCUUCCGGAAAAUCAAAGGCAUCUGAUCAGAUGUGGAAGGAUAGUUUCUGAUCCAAGUAAAGGUGUCUUAGCUGACAUGGCAAAAGCUGGCAUUGUAAAUUUCAGGUCAUUUAACUUGGAAAAUGAAGAUGGAGCAAGUAGAAAUUUGGGGUUUAGUUUGCGUGGUAGCCAUAAUUUCUUGCCAACUCAAAGUUCAAGCAUCGCGAGGGGGGAAGAUUGGCAAAACCUCUUGAAUCAUUUCAUGUGCAUGCAGAUGCAAAAUCCUAUGCUUUUCUAUGCUGUACAAGUGGAUCAAGACGGUAAAUUGACAAACCUAUUUUGGAGAGAUAGUUUGUCUAAAUUCGAUUAUGAUUGUUUUGGUGAUGUGGUGAUGCUUGAUACCACAUAUCACGUUAGCAAAUAUAACAUGAUAUGUGCACCAUUUUUAGGGGUUAAUCAUCAUUGGAAGAAUACCUUGUUUGGGUGCGCUCUCCUGUUAGAUGAGACAGUAAAUUCAUUUAUAUGGCUAUUUGAGACGUUUUUGGAGGCAAUGGGAAACAGAGCGCCUAGAACAAUUUUCACUGACCAAGACCAAGCUAUAGAAAAAGCUGUUGAAAAGGUGUUUCCGAAUGCACAACAUUGUGUAUGCACAUCACAAAUUGCAAAAAAUGCUGCUAAAAAGAUCCCCAAUCUUUAUGAGAAGCCUGAGUUUAGGGAUAGAUAUUUCUCAAAACUACUGUAUGGAUGUGAAACAGAGUCUGUAUUCGAAUCCACUUGGAAGGAAAUGGAAGAGGAAUGGGGCACUAAGGACAACUCUUGGCUUAACAGACUAUAUGAAUCAAGAAAUAAAUGGAGUGCGGCCUUUGGUCGGGGCAUAUUUUCAUGUGGUAUCAGAUCAACUCAGAGGAGUGAGGGCACAAAUGAUAUCUUCCGGCUGAUGCCUGCUAAUAGCAUGGACCUUAUUGGAUUUGUCCACCACUAUGAACAACAGUUAAAAUAUAUAAGGGAGAUUGAAGUUCGAGAUGAUCACAGUUCUAGAGGUAAGCCAGAAUUGGUUGUGUCAAAUAAUGCGAUUUUGACACAUGCUGCAGUGGCAUACACUCGUACCAUAUUUUCCAAGUUUUAUGAGGAAUUUUUGCAAAGUAUGUCAGAACGAGUUUUGGAUUGUAGUUGUGAUGGGGCAGUCUCUGAAUAUACUCUAGUUUGCCAUGGGAUUCAAGGGAAAAAUGUUGUGAAAUUCGAUUCUGUUAAUUUUUCAGUCUCUUGUGGAUGUAAAUUAUUUGAAUCAAGUGGGUGGUUGUGCCGUCAUGCUUUGUAUGUACUUAAUGGGAAUAUUAAGGUUACAAAAAAUCCCAUCAGCUUAUGUUUUAAAGAGAUGGACUAAGGGUGCCAAGGAUUGUAUUGUGCAUGAUGACUCUCCACAAGUGUCACCAUGUUCAUCAAAGAUUAGUCGUUAUUCCACACUGAUGCGAAAAGCUUUUGCUGUAAUGAGCUUGGCUGCCGAAGAUGAAGAUACUAUGAGAAUUGCAAUGCAAAAUUUGGACAAGAUGGUGGAGGAAAUUUUAAGGCACAAAUCCAAUCUUUUGACCAAAGAUGGUGAAGUUAACAGCGAUAGGUUUGUGAAUGCCAAUGAGGUUUCUUACUCCAUUAGCGAGACAUCAAUAACAGAUCACCCUCGAAGGAAAGCGAAGGGAGUAACAGGUGAUGGGGUUGAGAGUAAGUUGGAGAAAAAAAAAAGGAAAAAAUCAUCCAAAGGAGCAACCUCAACCGCAAUACAGAGUCGAGGUGAUUGAGCUGGUUGUUGGCGCUACUCUGGACGAAGCCCAUUUACUGACUCAUUUGGCACAUUCACAUCAGCUGUCAAGUGUCUUUUCUCCUUGCAAUUUUGGGGGUCCUACUACAAAUCCAAGUCUUAAUAAUGGGGUGUACUGAGCGAGAGAUCAGCAAACUCUUAUGAGUAUCCUGGCAGAAAUGUGGCCAGUGAAUCUCAAGGAACUAACAUGGAAGGGUUACAAGGUGAUUAAUCCAUUGCGAGAGGCAAAGUAAAUAUGGUUUUUUGGGUAUGGAAGAUCUAACUUCGAUACAUGUCUAGUGUAUCUCCAUACAAUUAAGAUUAAAUUUGUGCAUGGAAUGUUGAUUGUAUAUAUCAGUACUAUGUGUGCUGGUUUAUCUUCACAUAUUGUGGAGUAUAUUACUGUAGACCCUCUGUCGUGGUGUCAUCCCUAUUUUGAGUGCUUCACAGGGAUCCUACGCUUUAUAACUUUUUUGGUCAUCCUACUAUGUUACCACUGAUGGACUCCCUUGGAGAAUCUAAUUGUAAGAGAGACUAGUUACACUAAUUGUUAAGUUAGGAUUCAUUCGUUUGUGAUGGUGCAGUUCUUGUGUUCUAUUUAAGAUUACUUUAUUUCUUUCUAUGUAACGAGAUAUUUUUUCUUGUGCAA